GGUUCGAUUCUGGCUCAGAUUGAACGCUGGCGGAUGUUUGGCUACGCAAGUCGAACGGGCACGGACUUCGGUCUGGUGGGCGGCGAACGGGUGAGUAAUGUAUCGGAACGUGCCUAGUAGCGGGGGCUAAGCGAAAGCGUAGCUAAUACCGCAUACGCCCUUCGGGGGAAAGCGGGGACCUCGGGCCUCGCACUAUUAGACAGGCCGAUAUCGGAUUAGCUAGUUGCGGUAACGGCUCACCGCUGGCGACGAUCCGUAGCUGGUUUGAGAGGACGACCAGCCACACUGGGACUGACACGGCCCAGACUCACGGGAGGCAGCAGUGGGACUUGGACAAUGGGGAAACCCUGAUCCAGCCAUCCCGCGUGUGCGAUGAAGGCCUUCGGGUUGUAAAGCACUUUGGCAGUGAGAAGAAACGGCACGGAUAAUACCCCGUGCAACUGACGGUACUCUGCAGAAUAAGCACCGGCUAACUACGCCACAGCAGCUGCGGUAAUACGCUGCCGUAGGGUGCAAGUUAAUCGGAAUUACUGGCGUAAAGCGUGCGCAGGCGGUUCGGAAAGAAAGAUGUGAAAUCCCAGAGCUUAACUUUGGAACUGCAUUUUUGGGCUACUGAGCUAGUGUGUCAGAGGGAGGUGGAAUUCCGCGUGUAGCAGUGAAAGUGCAGAUAUGCGGAGGAACACCGAUGGCGAAGGCAGCCUCCCGGGAUAACACUGACGCUCAUGCACGAAAGCGUGGGGAGCAAACAGGAUUAGAUACCCUGGUAGUCCACGCCCUAAACGUCAAUAACUAGCUGUUGGGGCCUUUCGCCUUGGUAGCGCAGCUAACGCGUGAAGACCGCCUGGGGAGUACGGUCGCAAGAUUAAACUCAAAGGAAUUGACGGGGACCCGCACAAGCGGUGGAUGAUGUGGGAUAUUCGAUGCAACGCGAAAACCUUACCUACCCUUGACAUGUCUGGAAUCCCGAAGAGAUUUGGGAGUGCUCGCAACCGGAACACAGGUGCUGCAUGGCUGUCGUCAGCUCGUGUCGUGAGAUGUUGGGUUAUCCCGCAACGAGCGCAACCCUUGUCAUUAGUUGCUACGAAAGGGCACCUAAUGAGACUGCCGGUGACAAACCGGAGGAAGGUGGGAUGACGUCAAGUCCUCAUGGCUCCCAUAGGGCUUGUCAUACAAUGGUCGGGACAGAGGUCGCCAACCCGCGAGGGGAGCCAAUCCCAGAAACCCGAUCAACUGGAUCGUGGUCUGCAACUCGACUGGCAGUCGGAAUCGCUAGUAAUCGUGGAUCAGCAUGUCGCGGUGAAUACGUUCCCGGCUUGUACACCGCCCGUCACACCAUGGGAGUGGGUUUUACCAGGCGUUACCUAACCGUAAGGAGGGCGAUUACCACGGUAGGAUUCAUGACUGGGGUGAAGUCGUAAUAAGGUAG
rnacentral:rRNA from 1 species